AAAAAAAGACAAUACUGAAGAAAAAUCAAGUCCUAGGAGACCUCAAAGUGUCAUAUACCAAUUUUCAGGCCAAUUGGAGCAGUUUUGAUUCAAGUUGAAUUUAAAUAAUAUGAUAAUCAACAUGUUCUUUAAUAGCUACAGUGUCAACUUCCUAAUGACUUUUCCCACAGGUCAACGGUGCCCUGUUGGAACUAAAAUAUCAAAUUGUUAUGGUUGUUGGUCUAAAUGUCCGGAUAAACCUUGUAUCCAAGUUUGUGCAAGAGGCUGUGUGUGUGCACAGGCUGGAUAUCUUAUAGGUCCUAAUGGCAAAUGUAUUCCAGAGCAAGAAUGUCCAAAGGUGAAAUCUUAAGAUGAAGGCAAGAAACCUCUGAUCAAAGGAAGACGACAUUGACGUCUCAGAGAAGAUUUGUUCCUAGUCCUGAGAAAAAAAUAUGGAUAAAAUAAAAUUGCAUGUGUAACAAUUCUAACUAUUAUACCCAAUAAACCAUUGAUAGCAUCGUAA